UACGGAGGGUGCGAGCGUUGUCCGGAAUCAUUGGGCGUAAAGGGCGCGUAGGUGGCGCGGUAAGCGUGCGGUGAAAGCCUGGGGCUCAACCCCGGGUCGGCCGUGCGAACUGCUGGGCUUGAGCACUGUAGAGGCAGGCGGAAUUCCGGGUGGAGUGGUGAAAUGCGUAGAGAUCCGGAGGAACACCAAAGGCGAAGGCAGUGUCCUGGGGAGUACCUGACGCUCAGGUGCGAAAGCCAGGGGAGCGAACGGG
rnacentral:rRNA from 1 species